rnacentral:lncRNA from 1 species
GAUUAAAAAAGAUUUUCAUAAAUAUAGGCAAAUACAAUAUUUCCUUCGGCCUAUUGCAUAAACAUGGGAUCCUUAGCAAUAGCGUCAUAGUAUGAGGCAUCCGAAUUACAGAGAACUAUAGACGGUAUACCUCCUGUAAUUUGGCGUUUUUUACGGUAUCUCUCAUUUACAACAUACUCCCUUUGGGCCCCAAGUAGGGCCUUUUUACAUGGAAAAUGUUGAAAUGGACAAUCAUCUAUUACAUUAUAUUAGGCCUUUACAUUAUAAUUGGUAAAAUCAACGCCUUUGGCCCAUUAGUUAUGUAAGCCUAAACUUCUGGCCCAGUGUGUUUUACCAGAUUUAGUCGGGCCCUGAACUACAAUACUUAUGGGGCGGUCAGGUUUGGGAUCCUGGGGAAGAAGAUGAAAGUCAAUUUCCUCCGGUAACAUAUCUUGGUUUGUUAAAAUAUGGAGAUAUCUCUCCUCCAAGUCAUUUAAGGUUGCAUCUUGUGCAUGUGCGAUUGAUAGUUGAACAUAAUGUGGCCAAAAACAAGUUAUGGAUUUACGUACCAUGAAUAUAUUAUGUGUCGCCCAUUGGGUUAGUUUAGGAGGGACGUUGUUGAAUGUUGGCCAUUUCGGAACAUAUAUCUCUGGAGGAUUUGGCCAUCUUUUAUUUGCCAUUUACUCCAGAUUUCGCAAUUGAGUUGCGUAUACGAAUGGUUGUUCAGCCGCCACCCUUGAUAGGAAAUCUGAUGAAGAUGACGAUUCGUUAAGAAUGCUGGUCCAUAUUUCAUCUCUUGAACGUUUGGAUGAACGACGCUGCUGUAUUUGGCCCCUUUCUUCGAAUAUGCCGCCUUUGGCUAUGUACGCGGAGACGUCCUGAUCAUCCUUAGAUUUCUCCAUAUUGGGAUGAUAAUGUGUUGUGCCAUUAGGAUUUGGAAUGUCACAGAACGAAGUGGAUUGUAUGUUGAACUGUUUGUUGCAUUGUAACAGACAAUGUAGAUGGGGCUCUCCAUCCUCGUUUGUUUCUUGACACACUCGUAUGUAAGAUGGAUCGUAAUGUGUAAACCAAUUCCAUAUGUAGUCGAUGACGAAGGUAAUUAUCAAGGGACAGAGGGGAAAUGUGAGGAAAAUUGAUUUCCCUUGGAUUCGAAAUCUGGAAGAAGCUGAAGGAUGAAGGCGAGGCAUGAUGAACAAUAAUGUAUCUCACUUAGAUAUUGGAACUAUUACUGGAUUCGAUGAAAUGUGAGAUAAAUUUGGCCGGCGGGUAUGUAUACAUAUGGCGUGUUGUGAUAGGAUGUCCGCUAGCACAAAGUGCGAUUACACGUGUCUUAUUCUGAUGGGUCCAUACCAAAGUGUUACGCAUGUUCACCUACGGUGAACACGGCACAACCAUAUUAAUAAGGUAAUCCAUACCCGGCAAACAAUAUGUAUGUAAUUUGAACAAUAAGCUAAAGUCCCUCAAUCAAACUCAUUCACAUGAGUCCUCAAUCCGUCGAGUAUAUAUUGUGAUAAAAUACAUUUAUUAUUAUGUCAUCAGCCUUAACAAGGCUUUUUUUACAUCUUGUUUUUCCAAGUAACUCAAUAAACUAUGGCUUGGCUAACCUUCGCACCUGGGUUAGAAGUAGCCCAUAAAACAUAAAGAGCACCUUUAAAUAUGUCGGCUGGUUGGACACCAUCGGACUGCCACUCACAUAUUCGAUUGAUCUUCACAUACUUAUCGACAACACAUUCACGCUUAUGUUCUCCAACGUUCGGUCCCCCUUGGAAAUCGUAACGCGCUUUGCCAACAAUCUGAUAACGAUGGCUAACAGUCGAAUUCAACAACCAUGUGGAUGGUUCGGAAUUGAAGGUGUUGAAUAUGUCCGCCGAUGGUCUUGCAUCGUAUAUUACCCAUAGAAACACGUUACGAGGACUAGGAUCUCUACCUGGAGCCUCAUGUGACAUUGACAACCAAAGUUUUCCUUUGAGAUAAAUGUUAUUCAACCAGGUAAUACCACUAGAUCGCUCGUCAAUAUUAACACCAGGCUUAAUAUUAAGAGCCAUACUAAGCAGUCCAUUAUGAUCAAUUAAAGCAGCAUUCGUCAAAUCUUUAAUGUGCAACGAUGUCCAACGAUUCUUAACAUGGGCUAACGACGUGCGUCUUCUACCAGAGUAUUUCCUAUACGGAUAUCGACGGUAUCUACGCUCGAACGAUGUAGAUACUUGAUACGGCGUCCAAUUAGUCCCAGGUAUAGGCUCGAUCUUUUUUUCUUCAUUCGCCAUGCUAACAGUCCCGCUAUCUUUACAACGCUCUGACAGCUUCCUUCUCAAUUCUGCAUAUUCAACAUGAAACUACUGUAGUCUCGUUUUGAACGAUCCCCUGCAUCGAUGAAACCUCUGCAGGAUCUUUCGCAAUUGGAUCAAGCCUUCUUGAUCCUGGAGCGCGCCGUGUGUUAUCCAACGUUGCUGUGAGGCGCACAACUCGGGAUUCAAGUUGGCUAAGGCCCCGACAUUGGCAAUCCGACUGGAGAUCCAUUUGUUGGUGCACAUCACCAAAAUACCUGGCAAGGUCUCGGGGUAAUCCCUGACACAAAACAAGGAUGUACGAGAGAGCACCAUAUAUCGCACCAAUAAUAAAUAUAUUGAAUGGGAGCAUUAACCAGAAUUGGCUUGUUGAGCAAUAAGAGUCCAUUAGGCUAUAAACCCAACAGGCCGGGUAUUUAUAGGCAAAUAGUUAGCGUAUUAAAUACGCUAGUAGUAACAUAUUCACUUUGUUAAACAUAAAGUGAAUAGUUAUGCUUCCAAAUGAAGUUAAACAAUAUUCCUGGGAGACAACAGUAGAAACAUUUCAAAAGAAUACGGCGG